GGAAUCUUGUUAUUGCAAAAAAAUAUAUAAUGAGAAAAAACACUCAGACACCUUCCGUAAAUUUACUUACAAAUUCAAAUUAGUAUGUUGUAUAUACAAAAAUAAUCAAGGGAUUUUCAAGUAAAUGAAAAAUGUCUUACAAUUGGCAACACUAUAGGCAUCUCAGGUUUCCAUCCUGACGGUAUGACAAAAUUCGGAGGAAUCAUACCUUGAGUUGCAGCCAGGUUACCAAGUGGAUUGGAUUCCAUCGACUGUGUAGCAGGAACAUCAAUGAAAGGCUCAAUUGUUGUCUCCUUAUCUUAUAUUUGGAUUUGGCAGGCCAAGCCUGGCUAGUGAUUGUACGAUUUCGUGUGGAACAUUUUGUAGCAUUUUAGGGAUUUAGGUUUGCGAUAAAGAUGGAGAUUUAGGGGCUGGGUACGAGAGAUUUAGGUUUCAAUAGAUUUAGGUUUGCGAUGAAGAUGGAGAUUUAGGGGCUGGGUACGAGAGAUUCAGGAAUGGGUAUGAGAGAGAAUUAUUCUUUCAAUUGGGAUUUAGGUUUGCAAUGAAGAAAGAAAUUUAGGGUCUAGAGAUUUUGGGGGAGUGAAAAUAAUGGAUGGAGAUUUUGGCAGAUAAUUUCAUUUAGUAGGGAGCUUGAAGUUUCCAUUACCU
rnacentral:lncRNA from 1 species